rnacentral:rRNA from 1 species
AGCAGCCGCGGUAAUUCCAGCUCCAAUAGCGUAUAUUAAAGUUGUUGCAGUUAAAAGCUCGUAGUUGAAUUUCGGGGUCAGUAGAUUGGUCAUGCCAUUGGUAUGCACUGGUCUUACUGGCUCCUCCUUCCUGAUGAACCGUAAUGCCAUUAAUUUGGUGUUGCGGGGAGACUGGACUGUUACUUUGAAAAAUUAGAGUGUUUAAAGCAGGCUAACGCUUGAAUACAUUAGCAUGGAAUAAUGAAAUAGGACGUUCGAUCUUAUUUGUGGUUUCUAAGAUUGACGUAAUGAUUAAUAGGGAUAGUUGGGGCAUUAGUAUUCAAUUGUCAGAGGUGAAAUUCUUGGAUUUAUUGAAGACUAACUACUGCGAAAGCAUUUGCCAAGGAUGUUUUCAUUAAUCAAGAACGAAAGUUAGGGGAUCGAAGACGAUCAGAUACCGUCGUAGUCUUAACCAUAAACUAUGA